rnacentral:rRNA from 1 species
UUCGCAAUGCCCGAAAGGGUGAACGAGCGACGCCGCGUGCGGGAUGAAGGGUUUCGGCUUGUAAACCGCUUUUCUUUGGGAAGAAGGUCUGUCUCGUGCAGAUGGGCUCGACGGUACCAGAGGAAUAAGCCUCGGCUAACUCCGUGCCAGCAGCCGCGGUAAGACGGAGGAGGCAAGCGUUGUUCGGAAUCACUGGGCAUAAAGAGCACGUAGGCGGUUGAGCAAGUCCAUUGUGAAAUCCCCCGGCUUAACCGGGGAACUGCAGUGGAUACUACUUGUCUUGAGUGCAGAAGGGGAGAGUGGAAUUCCUGGUGGAGCGGUGAAAUGCGUAGAUAUCAGGAGGAACGCCGGUGGCGAAAGCGACUCUCUGGUCUGUUACUGACGCUGAGGUGCGAAAGCUAGGGGAGCAAACGGGAUUAGAUACCCCGGUAGUCCUAGCCCUAAACGAUGGGCACUAAGUAGAGGGGUUUU